GACGUAGGUGGCGAACGUUAUCCGGAAUUAUUGGGCGUAAAGGGCGCGUAGGCGGCUCGGCACGUCCGUUGUGAAAUCGCCCGGCUCAACUGGGCGGGGUCAGCGGAUACGGUCGAGCUUGAGCAAGCUAGGGGGCAAUGGAAUUCCCGGUGUAGUGGUGGAAUGCGUAGAUAUCGGGAGGAACACCAGUGGCGAAGGCGGCUCGCUGGGCCGUUCCUGACGCUGAGACGCGAAAGCUAGGGGAGCGAACAGG
rnacentral:rRNA from 1 species